UAGAUAGAAAAAUAAACUGUAAACAGCAAUAAUGUUCAGCAAAGUAAGAUUUACAAAUAAGUCAACAUGACUGAAAUGGUCAGUUGACACCUUUAGGAGUUAUUGCCCUUUAUAGUCAAUUUUGAACCAUUUUUCGUAAAUCUUAGUUAUCUUUUACAAAAAUCUUCUCCUCUGAAACUACUGGGCCAAGUUCAUUAUAGAUAGAGAUAAUUGUAAGCAGCCAGAAUGUUCAGUAAAGUAAGAUUUACAAACACAUCACCAUCACCAAAGCACAAUUUUGUCAUGAAUCCAUCUGCGUCCUUUGUUUAAUAUUCACAUAGACCAAGGUGAGCGACACAGGCUCUUUAGAGCCUCUAGUUUAUUUCCAUAUACAGUCAAGCCUGCUAAAAAUUCACCUCUUUUACACAAAAACCUGAAAAUCAAAUUCUUUCUUUUUUCCAACUGCAGUGGCAGAUCCAGAAAUUUACAUAAGUGGGGGCCCACUGACUGACCUAAGAGGGGGCCGCUCCAGUCACGCUUCAAUGAUUCCCUAUAUAAGCAACCAAAUUUUUUCCCAAAAAAGGGGGGCCCGGGCCCCCCCUCCCCCUAAAUCCGCCUCUGAACUGUUCCCUAUGAUAUAAUCUUUCUAUUUUUAAUGCCAAAUUAGAGUUUUGACCCCAAUCCCACUGAACUUAGAAAAUGAGUGGGGCAUACUAUGAACACAUUAUUGUUUUCUUCUUGAAACUAUUGCAGACUCACUUUUAUUUUAGUGAUUUUUUCAGCGGCUUUUCUAAACAUCAUUAUAAAAUUAAGAAUCGAAAUGGGGAAUAUGUCAAAGAGACAACAACCCGACCAAAGAGCAGACAACAUCCAAUACCACCAAUGGGUCUUCAACACAGGGAGAAAAUCCCACACCCAGAGGUGGUCCUCAACUGUCCCCUUGAAAAAAUUGUGUAUUAGUUUAGUGAAAAUGAACUUCACAAAACAUAAAGGAACUAAAAUGGAAAAAAACAUAAAAGACUAACAAAGGCCAGAGGCUCCUGAUUUGGGACAGUGGCAAAAAUGUGGCGUUGUUUAACAUGUUUGUGAGAUCUCAACCCUCCCCUACAUCUCUAGCCGAUGUAGAAUAAAGAAACACAUAGCAAUACACACAGGGGCGGUUCCAGCCAUUUUAAGGAGGGGGUUCCCAACCCAGGAUAAAGGGGGAGUUCCAACUAUAUGUUCCCAUUCAAAUGCAUUGAUCGGCCA
rnacentral:lncRNA from 1 species